AUGUUCGAACAUAUGGGCAUGUUAUGCUGUCAUGUUCUUAAGAUUAUGGACUAUCGUGGCAUGACAGAGAUACCAGAAAGGCACAUUGUAAAAAGGUGGACAAGGGAUGUGAGGGAUGUUUUGCCAGAUCACCUUCAGCAUUACCAGGGAGACCAGCUCUGUGCCACCGCGCUAACAUUCAGGCAUACAAGAAUGUACGUCAAGGCACUAGAGCUGGUUAAGCUCGAAGAUGUGAGUGUGGAAGCGUAUGAAAGACUGAUGAGUCUGUUCGAGCAAGCCAUUGUUGUGAUGACGCCAUUUGAGCAUGCCAGGGAUGGGCUUGGGCUCGAGGACCGUGCUACCAAUAAGCAAGCCACCAAGGUAGCUGAGCAGGCAGUAACUGUUGACAGCGCACACGACAGGAUGUCAGGGCACAGCAACCUCCUUCGUGAUUGGGAGCACCCCUGA
rnacentral:rRNA from 1 species